UCAGACAUCACACAUCAGAAAGCUGCAGGCUCAUCUCAGCAGCUUUUGUAUUUGUAUCUUAGCAGGGAACUUGUCCAGCCUUCACCUUCUUUUUCCUGCCACUUUCCUGUCUGCUCAGGGGAGAUCAUUCAGAGAAGACUUCACAGCGUUUCCACUGCUCAGCCAUGCUACUGUUGCUCAUCUCAAUAUUGGGGAUAUUUGCCCUGAGAGAUUCCAGAGGCCAGUCAGUGACCCAGCCUGAUGAUCCUGUUUUGGUCUCUGAAGGAACCUCAUUGGAGCUGAAGUGUAACUAUUCCUACGGUGCAACUCCCUAUCUCUUCUGGUAUGUCCAGUACCCCAGGCAAAGACCCCAGCUGCUCCUCAAGUACUUUUCCGGGAACACGGUGGUUCAAGGCAUUAGAGGCUUCAUGGCUGAAUUUAAGAGCAGUGAAUUUUCCUUCAACCUGAGGAAAUUCUCAGCCCAUUGGAGUGACUCGGCUGAGUACUUCUGUGCACUGAGUGACACAGUGCCUGGGACUGCAGGAGGAGUUGAACACAAACCACUCGCGGUGGUGGAGUUUUCAGACACUCGAGAUCGCUUCUUGUUUUAUUUUAAGCGAUCUUUUGCUAUAUGA